UUAUAAUCGAAGGAGUCUGAUUGUAGUCUAAUUAUAAUCGAAGGGGUCUAAUUGUAGUCUAAUUAUAAUCGAAGGGGUCUAAUUGUAGUCUAAUUAUAAUCGAAGGAGUCUAAUUGUAGUCUAAUUAUAAUCGAAGGGGGUCUAAUUGUAGUCUAAUUAUAAUCGAAGGAGUCUAAUUGUAGUCUAAUUAUAAUCGAAGGAGUCUAAUUGUAGUCUAAUUAUAAUUGAAGGGGUCUAAUUGUAGUCUAAUUAUAAUCGAAGGAGUCUAAUUGUAGUCUAAUUAUAAUCGAAGGGGUCUAAUUGUAGUCUAAUUAUAAUCGAAGGUGUCUAAUUGUAGUUUAAUUAUAAUCGAAGAGGUCUAAUUGUAGUCUAAUUAUAAUCGAAG
rnacentral:lncRNA from 1 species